GUUUGAUCCUGGCUCAGAACGAACGCUGGCGGCGUGGAUUAGGCAUGCAAGUCGAACGAGAUUCGGAAUGCCCGAGUAGCAAUACAAAGGCGUCCCGAUGACAGUGGCGCAAGGGUGAGUAACACGUGGGGAAUCAACCUCGUGGUUCGGAACAACCCGCCGAAAGGCGGGCUAAUACCGGAUGUCAUCACGGGGCCAUAUGGCUCUGUGAUAAAAGGUGGCGUCUGUUUACAGGCUAUCGCCGUGAGACGACCCCGCGUCCUAUUAGCUGGUUGGUAGGGUAACGGCCUACCAAGGCUUAGAUGGGUAGCUGGUCUGAGAGGAUGGUCAGCCACACUGGGACUGAGACACUGCCCAGACUCCUACGGGAGGCUGCAGUCGAGAAUCUUCUGCAAUGGGGGAAACCCUGACAGAGCGACGCCGCGUGGAGGAUGAAGGCCUUCGGGUCGUAAACUCCUGUCAUCCCGGAGCAAGUGCCUCCCGGUAAAUAAUCGGGAGGGAUUGAGAGUACGGGAAGAGGAAGCAACGGCUAACUCCGUGCCAGCAGCCGCGGUAAGACGGAGGUUGCUAGCGUUGUUCGGAAUUACUGGGCGUAAAGGGCACGUAGGCGGUGCCGCAAGUGGUGUGUGAAAUCUCUCCGCUUAACGGGGAAACUGCGCACCAAACUGUGGCGCUUGAGUGCAGGAGGGGAGAGCGGAAUUCCUGGUGUAGCGGUGAAAUGCGUAGAUAUCAGGAGGAACACCGGUGGCGAAGGCGGCUCUCUGGCCUGAUACUGACGCUGAGGUGCGAAAGCUAGGGGAGCAAACAGGAUUAGAUACCCUGGUAGUCCUAGCUGUAAACUGUGCGCACUUGGUGUUGGAGGGAUCGACCCCUUCAGCGCCGUAGCUAACGCGUUAAGUGCGCCGCCUGGGGACUACGGCCGCAAGGCUAAAACUCAAAGGAAUUGACGGGGGCCCGCACAAGCGGUGGAGCAUGUGGCUUAAUUCGAUACUACGCGAAGAACCUUACCAGGGCUUGACAUGACCAGGACCGCGGCGGAAACGUCGCUUUCCCGCAAGGGACCUGGCCACAGGUGCUGCAUGGCUGUCGUCAGCUCGUGUCGUGAGAUGUCGGGUUAAGUCCCUCAACGAGCGCAACCCUUGUGAAUAGUUGCCAUGGACCGGGCAACCGGUCCGGCACUCUGUUCAGACUGCCCGUGAUAAGCGGAAGGAAGGUGGGGAUGACGUCAAGUCAGUAUGGCCUUUAUGCCCUGGGCUGCACACGUGCUACAAUGGCCGGUACAGAAAGUUGCUAAUCCGCAAGGAGGAGCCAAUCUUGAAAACCGGCCCCAGUUCGGAUUGAAGGCUGCAACUCGCCUUCAUGAAGCCGGAAUCGCUAGUAAUGGCGCAUCAGCUACGGCGCCGUGAAUACGUUCCCGGGCCUUGUACACACCGCCCGUCACAUCAUGAAAGCCGACUACACCCGAAGUCGUCGGGCUAACCCGCAAGGGGGGCAGGCGCCUAAGGUGCGGUGGGUGAUUGGGAUGAAGUCGUAACAAGGUA
rnacentral:rRNA from 1 species